GCUUGUUGUUUGAUGAUCUGCCAGAACUUGAGAUUUUGAGUGCUCAGUUAAAAUAAUUUUUGAAACUCCGUACUAAUGUCCUGUGGAAUUUGUAGGAGCGAUAUGUGGCAAUGGCAACAAGAAGAAGAAUGUUGCCUGCCAACAUAUUCCCAAUUUGCUUUACCUCUAUGGGAUGAUACGAUGGGAAAUCAAACUCCACUUCGAGGAUUUGGUGAUUUCGACUUAGACGAAUUGGAUUUUGGAGAUGAGGUCGAGAAGGGCGUGAAGAAGCAAAUGAGGCAUCAAGAGUGAAAAGGCGUCGUGUUCUAAAUUUUUUUCUGAUGAUGAUGGCGCCACAGCCGUCAAUGAGCAUUUGUCCUCUGAAGUAGUUUGUUCCAAGACUGUUUCUUCAGAUAGAUAAAUUAGAUUCAUCUUAAUACUUUAUUCAAAUUAGGCUAAAGCAUCCACUUGGUGCGUUUGAUUUUUUUACUUUAGGUUCAGGAGGACUCGACAUCAGCAAAAAUAUGCACACAAAAUUUACAGUCGAAUCUCAUGUGUUCAGAUACACAGUGGUAGGUGUUUUGUCCCAGUCUCAAGCCGUCAAUCCAUUUUGAUCAAUAUAUCUAGUAGAAGUAAGCAUGCAGAUCGUUGUCUUCGAGGCCGGCUAGCUAUUUUGUGCUUUUUUUUGUUUUAAAUUUGAAUGUCACUAACUACUUUGAAAUAGAAAUAUUUAGUCUUUGUGUAUAGUUGAA